AGUGGGAUUGCUGGAUCAUAUGGUAGUUGUAUUUUUUAUUUUUUGAAGAACCUCAGUACUGUUUUCCAUAAUGACUGUAUUAAUUUUUCAUUCCUACCAGCAGU
rnacentral:pre_miRNA from 1 species